UACGGAGGGUGCAAGCGUUACUCGGAAUCACUGGGCGUAAAGCGCGCGUAGGCGGAUUAUCAAGUCUUUUGUGAAAUCUAAGAGCUUAACUGGUAAACUGCUUGAGAAACUGGUAAGCUAGAGUUAGGUAGAGGUAGAUGGAAUUCUCGGUGUAGGGGUAAAAUCCGUAGAGAUCAAGAGGAAUACCCAUUGCGAAGGCGAUCUACUAGA
rnacentral:rRNA from 1 species